rnacentral:rRNA from 1 species
AUUGAACGCUGGCGGCAUGCCUUACACAUGCAAGUCGAACGGUAACGGGCCUUCGGGUGCCGACGAGUGGCGAACGGGUGAGUAAUGCAUCGGAACGUACCCAUCAGUGGGGGAUAACUCUCCGAAAGGAGGGCUAAUACCGCAUAUUCUGUGCGCAGGAAAGCGGGGGACCGCAAGGCCUCGCGCUGAUGGAGCGGCCGAUGUCAGGUUAGCUAGUUGGUGGGGUAAAGGCCUACCAAGGCGACGAUCUGUAGCGGGUCUGAGAGGAUGAUCCGCCACACUGGGACUGAGACACGGCCCAGACUCCUACGGGAGGCAGCAGUGGGGAAUUUUGGACAAUGGGGGCAACCCUGAUCCAGCCAUGCCGCGUGAGUGAAGAAGGCCUUCGGGUUGUAAAGCUCUUUCGGCCGGGAAGAAAUCGCAUCUCCUAAUACGGGGUGUGGAUGACGGUACCGGAAUAAGAAGCACCGGCUAACUACGUGCCAGCCGCCGCCGUAAUAC